CCUACGGGAGGCAGCAGUGGGGAAUAUUGCGCAAUGGGCGAAAGCCUGACGCAGCGACGCCGCGUGAGGGAUGAAGGUCUUCUGAUCUUAAACCUCUGUCAGCAGGGGAGCACGGUCACUGUGCUAAUCCUCCGUGCAUUGACUUUACCUGCAAAGGAAGCACAGGCUAACUCCGUGCCAGCAGCCGCGGUAAUACGGAGGGUGCGAGCGUUAAUCGGAAGUACUGGGCGUAAAGCUCGCGUAGUCGGUAUGUCAAGUCAAGGGUGAAAUCCCCGCGCUCAACGUGGGAACUGCCUUUGAAACUGGCAAACUUGAGUGUGUGUGAGGAGAGUGGAAUUCCAGGUGUAGGAGUGAAAUGCGUAGAUAUCUGGAGGAACAUCAGUGGCGAAGGCGACUAACUGGAACAUAACUGACGCUGAGGAGCGAAAGCGUGGGUAGCAAACAGGAUUAGAUACCCCAGUAGUC
rnacentral:rRNA from 1 species